UGUGUGUGUGUGUGUGUGUGUGUGUGUGUGUGUGUGUAUACACACACACACACAUAUAUACACACACG
rnacentral:miRNA from 1 species